GAUGAAGAACGCAGCGAAAUGCGAUAAGUAAUGUGAAUUGCAGAAUUCAGUGAAUCAUCGAAUCUUUGAACGCACAUUGCGCCCGCCAGUAUUCUGGCGGGCAUGCCUGUUCGAGCGUCAUUUCAACCAUCAAGCCCCCGGCUUGUGUUGGGGACCUGCGGCUGCCGCAGGCCCUGAAAAGCAGUGGCGGGCUCGCUGUCACACCGAGUGCAGUAGAUUACUCUUCGCUCAGGGCGUGCAGCGGGUUCCGGCCGUGAAACCCCCUACUUUUAAAGGUUGACCUCGGAUCAGGUAGGAAUACCCGCUGAACUUAAGCAUAUCAAUAAGCGGAGGA
rnacentral:misc_RNA from 1 species